CUACACACGUGCUACAAUGGCUGGUACAACGAGUCGCAAGCCGGUGACGGCAAGCUAAUCUCUUAAAGCCAGUCUCAGUUCGGAUUGUAGGCUGCAACUCGCCUACAUGAAGUCGGAAUCGCUAGUAAUCGCGGAUCAGCACGCCGCGGUGAAUACGUUCCCGGGCCUUGUACACACCGCCCGUCACACCACGAGAGUUUGUAACACCCGAAGUCGGUGAGGUAACCUUUUAGGAGCCAGCCGCCUAAGGUGGGAUAGAUGAUUGGGGUGAAGUCGUAACAGGCUAACCGUUGA
rnacentral:rRNA from 1 species